rnacentral:tRNA from 1 species
GCCCCUAUAGCACAGUGGUAGUGCGCUUGUCUCGUAAACAAGAGGUCCGCUGUUCGAUCCAGUGUGGGGGCA